rnacentral:lncRNA from 1 species
AAAGCUUAAGUAUUUUCUCAUCUUUUUUAUUUUUGUCUCUGACACCGCUCUGUUACUCUCUCCAAUCUCCAUCAAUGGCGUCUACAAGCUUCCUCAAGCCGAUCUCCUCUCUGAAGCUACCCCACCCACGAUCACCCCCCUUCCAAUCCUCAAAACUACUGGGUUUUGAUCUCUCGAACUCAUUUCCCACUCAAAACCUCAAAUCCUCAACAGCCCAUCAGCGAUUGUCAAGUACCAGACGUCACUCAAGCGCCACCACAACUACAGCA